GCCCAUUUGGUUCAGUGAUUAGAACAUUGGCCCAAGGACCAAAGGGUCAUGGGUUUGAUUCCCAGUCAAGGGCA
rnacentral:tRNA from 1 species